UACAGAGGGGGCAAGCGUUGUUCGGAAUUACUGGGCGUAAAGGGCGCGUAGGCGGCCUGCUAAGUCGAACGUGAAAUCCCCGGGCUCAACCCGGGAACUGCGUCCGAUACUGGCAGGCUUGAAUUCGGGAGAGGGAUGCGGAAUCCCAGGUGUAGCGGUGAAAUGCGUAGAUAUCAGGAGGAACACCAAUGGCGAAGGCAGCUCGCUGGGACGUGACUGACGCUGAGACGCGAAAGCGUGGGGAGCAAACAGG
rnacentral:rRNA from 1 species